AUUUCCCAGAUAGCGUUGAUAGAAAGCUGAGCUUAAAAUGCCCCUCGAGCUCCUCCACUCCAUCUCCCCCGUCCCGGCCCAACCCAGCGGCCUCAUGAGCCACCGGUUUCUCCUUCGCACGAGGCCGGCGAAGAUGUCUCCAACCCGAGUGGACUGAAACGCAAGAGGCAAAGGGAGGGACUUGGAAUGGAAAGGGGAAAAGGCAACGCCCGAUCCGUCUGGGAGACCGUUGGCCCAUUUGGUCCACAGACACUGUUGCCAGACCCGCUCGCUCUUCCCCUCUCGCGGCCUCCGCUCUAAACCCUUCUCAUUCUGCCGGACUGCAGGGGGGGCCCCCCCCCCAAAGUUUCAAAGCCACACCCCCGGGGGAAGAGGGGGGGAUUCUCCGGUUUUCUGCCACGCCACUGCCAGUCCCCUCUCGCUUGGCUGGUCCUCCAUCGCCCGGUGGGGCCCCCGUUGUCCCCGACGACCGCCAGGACCAUCCGCGACGACUCUGCAAAAUCGACACGAACGCCGCUCGGGGCGGGGCUUUUCCGCCGUCCGGCUACAGUUCGACCACCCUUGCCGGGGAGGUUAUGGAAUAUACCAAGAGUGUCAUCGGAUCAUCCAUCGGCCCAGACCUUCCAUCCGGAAGAGUCAAUAAACGGGUUCGUCUCCGAACAAAGGACACCGAUUGAAUUUUAAGUAGCGAAACCCGUUUCCUCCUGCAGAACGCUCCCCGAUCUUUUGUCCGAAAGAAAGCGGAGUUCGAGGGGCGAGAGGAGAAAAAAGAAGACUGUUGGGACCCUGUUUACCGGUCAUUCGCUCUGCCCCAUAAAAUAUCUGGGAUGUACAUUUUUAGUCAUCUCUAAUUUCCUCUCCUUCUUAACCUUUAUACUGUGAUUAUACGGUAACGACCGGUAAGGAAAAUAAAUGAUCGAUUUUUUUUUUCCACAAAAGCGAAGGGAAAGUUUCCAGCUCAAGGGAUCGUAGAGAAACAAAAGACUAAGGGGGUUUUCCGGUGGCCCGACAAAGAGGGCGAGGAAGAGGACAAUCCGCUGGGCUUUAUGCAAUAAAACGAUCCCAAUCGA